CGCUGCGCCCACACCCUGGGACCUCCCCGAAGUCCCGCAUCGGACCCCAGGGCAGUCCCAGGAGAGUUGGGGGCGCUCGCCCCUUUCGUGGACAGGAAAUUGAGGCAGGCGAGUGAAGGCCCUACAUCCUCAUGAGACUUAAACUGCCUUCCUUCUAGGACCGACUCAGGUGAGAAAAGGGAGGCACAGAGAGGCUAAAUAACAGGCCUGAGCUCACACAGAGGUGGAGGAGCUGAGCUGUGGACCCAGGCAGGCCAUCUCUGCAGCCUCCGCUCUUGACCACCAUGGGCUCCUCCUCUGGGCUAACCCAGCCCUUGCCAGGAUCCUACAUGGAAAGUAUUAUCAUACCAUUGAACAAAAGAGGAUAUGGAGGCAUGGAGGGCAGAGGGGCCCCAGGAUGGCAGAAUUAGUAACUGGGGUGAGAGGGAGCUGGGAUUAGACCCAGGUCUGAAAGCCAGGCCUUCCCCUCACCCUUCCUGUUUACCAAACACCUGGGCCCCAUCCUGCCCAAGGUCAGGAUGUGCUUCUGCCUGGUGCUGGCCUUGGGGAGCACCUGUUUUUUCCUGGAGGAAGGAGCAGGUGUGGACUUCUUUUUGAAACUGACCCUGACUGGGUUGGAGCCAGGACCGCUGCCCUCUGUCAAUCCUGCAUCGAGGCCAGGAGGACUUAAGUAGGAUUAGGUCAGACCUAGGCUUGCAUGGAGGGGCUUGGAGGUCAGCCCCAUUUUUGUAAGCCUCUCGCCCUCUGGACUCCAUAAUUCCUGCUAAUUGCACUCCUUGGAUGGGGCAGUGACAUGGAAGUACCUCCCAGCUCAGUCUUGGGGAGACCUCUCCAAGGACAAUGAGGGAAGCUGGGGGGAUGUCCCUACCCUCCUUUCUGGAGCAGAGCCCUGGGUUUACAGGGGUAAGACUCAAAGUGACUUCUCUGUCUGCCCCUCGUGCUAAUAAAAGUUUCCAUUCAAGAAAGAGCUGCCUGGGGAUGCCAAGUUAUCUGGAAUCUGUCAUUGUAGCAUCAAGGGGUGUUGGCAGCUGGGGAGGGGGGCUUGGGCCUUCCCACCCCCUUUGAGAGAUCAUUCUUGGAUGGGAUGUGGCUUCUAACUGGUGUCACCACCUGAAAGGCCAAUAUCCCAUCACCUAGAAUUUCCACGUUGGACUCGGGGAUUGGAGAGACCACCUUGACUCCUGCCAAGGCCCUUUGAGAGCUGCCCACCCCAUCCUUUAGUGCGCCUGCUCAGUAAACCCCAGGGUGGGGCCAGGGGUUGGGGAAAAGCGGGCCUCAGAAAGCCCUUGGAGGGGCAGGGAAGGGCUUGGAAGAAACGUGACUCAGAAUAUGGGGCCCUCCCCUCACAUCUUCCCAGACUUGAAGGGGCGUCUUACUUCUGAGCUCCCUGCAGCCCCAGCCUCCUGGCCAUCUCUCCUGGCUGCUGAAAUAAAGGCCGGGCCCUUUUGCCACCUUGUGAUGUGACCCUGCCUGUUGGUUGGGCCUCAUCUCUCACCCCUAGUUCUUUGCUUUCAUUGCCACACCAGCCCUUUUGACUGUUCUUGAGUUCAUCAUGAUUCUUUGUACCCCAGGGACCUUGCAUGAGCCAGUGUCUUGCUGCGCUUCCUCCCAUCUCACUUGGCUAAUGUGAGGCAUUUUCUUUACACACCUGGAAAAAAUAGAGCCUGGUGCCUUCCAAGACUGGGAUGGUUGGAGGAAACUUUUUGUGUUGUAGCCUGAGGGUAGGAAGAAGACACAAUUUAAAUAUAAGAAGGUGAGGUGGAGGCUAGGCGCGAUGGCUCACACCUGUAAUCCCAGUACUUUGGGAGGCUGAGGCGGGUGGAUCACUGGAGGUCAGGAGUUCAAGACCAGCCUGGCCAACAUGGUGAAACCUAUCUCUACUAAACAUACAAAUAUUAGCUGGGAGUAGUGGCAGGUGCCUGUAGUCGCAGCUCGUUGAGGGGCAGAGGCAGGAGAAUUGCUUGAACCCGGGAGUUGGAGGUUGCAGUGAGCCAGGAUUGCACCACUGCACUCCAGCCUGGGCACCAGAGUGAGAUUCUGUCAAAGAAGAAGAAGAAGAGCUAGAAAUAGGCUCAUGAGAGGUUUCUCUUCUGGAAUAAAGUGUUUGCCUUUUUAGAGGCUCUAUCUUCCUCUCUUUCUACCAGAAACUAGACCUCUGAGGGCCCCUUCCCCUCCCGCUAUCCUCGGAUCUGAAGCCCUCGUUCCCCCUCACUUCCUGUCCAGCACUGAAACCCCAUGGGACAGAGAGUGUGUGACAGCUCAUGCAGGAAGCUGGUCAGAUGAGAAGAGUGCUGGGCUAAAGGGGCUAAUUUGGAAGGUAUCCAGAGACCUAUCAGGGAGCACCCUGAGCCCCAAGUAGAGAGGUUUGAAUUUCUUCCUCCAGGCACUGUGGAGCUUGGAGGGUUUGGGGGCAGCUGCCUUGGAAGGGCUGAAAGGAGGUGGAUGGCGCUGGUGAGACACAUCUCUUCCCCCUCCCUCUACCCCCCAGCCACAGAAGAAGGAUUCUCCAGCUCUUGGAU